GACGAACGCUGGCGGCGUGCUUAACACAUGCAAGUCGAACGGUGACGGGAUCAGCUUGCUGGUUCUGGGUGAGUGGCGAACGGGUGAGUAACACGUGAGUAACCUGCCCCCUUCUCCUGGAUAACCGCAUGAAAGUGUGGCUAAUACGGGAUAUUCUGGCUCUGUCGCAUGAUCGGUCUGGGAAAGAUAUUUUUUCGGUGGGGGAUGGGCUCGCGGCCUAUCGGCUUGUUGGUGGGGUGAUGGCCUACCAAGGCGGUGACGGGUGGCCGGCCUGAGAGGGUGGCCGGUUACACCUGAGCUGAGACACAGACCAGAAUCGUACGCAGGGGAGCAGUGUGGAAGAUAGCGCGAUGGGGGCUAGCCUGGUGCAGCGGCGCCGGGGGAGAGGUGGAUGGCGUCGGGAUGUAAUCCUCUUUGGCAAGUGAAGCAGGCCUGCUACUUGUGGGUGUGUUGACGGUAGCUGGAGAAGAAGCGCCGGCUAACUACGUG
rnacentral:rRNA from 1 species